rnacentral:rRNA from 1 species
UACGGAGGGUGCAAGCGUUAAUCGGAAUUACUGGGCGUAAAGCGCACGCAGGCGGUUUGUUAAGUCAGAUGUAAAAUCCCCGGGCUCAACCUGGGAACUGCAUCUGAUACUGGCAAGCUUGAGUCUCGUAAAGGGGGGUAGAAUUCCAGGUGUAGCGGUGAAAUGCGUAGAGAUCUGGAGGAAUACCGGUGGCGAAGGCGGCCCCCUGGACGAAGACUGACGCUCAGGUGCGAAAGCGUGGGGAACAAACAGG